rnacentral:rRNA from 1 species
AUUGAACGCUGGCGGCGUGCCUAAUACAUGCAAGUCGAGCGAAGCGGCGGAUGGGUGAGUAACGCGUGGGUAACCUGCCCUUAAGUCUGGGAUACCAUUUGGAAACAGAUGCUAAUACCGGAUACUAAAGGAUGGACCUGCGAUGCAUUAGCUAGUUGGUAAGGUAACGGCUUACCAAGGCGACGACGGGUAGCCGGCCUGAGAGGGCGACCGGCCACAUUGGGACUGAGAGACGGCCCAAACUCCUACGGGAGGCAGCAGUGGGGAAUAUUGCACAAUGGGGGAAACCCUGAUGCAGCAACGCCGCGUGCGGGAUGACGGCCUUCGGGUUGUAAACCGCUUUCAGCCAUGACGCGGUAGUGGCAGAAGAAGCACCGGCUAACUACGUGCCAGCAGCCGCGGUAAUAC